AGAUUAAGUUAUUAAGGGCGCACGGUGGAUGCCUUGGCACUAGAAGCCGAUGAAGGACGUUACUAACGACGAUAUGCUUUGGGGAGCUGUAAGUAAGCUUUGAUCCAGAGAUUUCCGAAUGGGGAAACCCAGCAUGAGUUAUGUCAUGUUAUCGAUAUGUGAAUACAUAGCAUAUCAGAAGGCACACCCGGAGAACUGAAACAUCUUAGUACCCGGAGGAAGAGAAAGAAAAUUCGAUUCCCUUAGUAGCGGCGAGCGAAACGGGAAGAGCCCAAACCAACAAGCUUGCUUGUUGGGGUUGUAGGACACUCUAUACGGAGUUACAAAGGACGACAUUAGACGAAUCAUCUGGAAAGAUGAAUCAAAGAAGGUAAUAAUCCUGUAGUCGAAAAUGUUGUCUCUCUUGAGUGGAUCCUGAGUACGACGGAGCACGUGAAAUUCCGUCGGAAUCUGGGAGGACCAUCUCCUAAGGCUAAAUACUCUCUAGUGACCGAUAGUGAACCAGUACCGUGAGGGAAAGGUGAAAAGCACCCCGGAAGGGGAGUGAAAUAGAACCUGAAACCGUGUGCUUACAAGUAGUCAGAGCCCGUUAAUGGGUGAUGGCGUGCCUUUUGUAGAAUGAACCGGCGAGUUACGAUUUGAUGCAAGGUUAAGCAGUAAAUGUGGAGCCGUAGCGAAAGCGAGUCUGAAUAGGGCGUUUAGUAUUUGGUCGUAGACCCGAAACCAGGUGAUCUACCCUUGGUCAGGUUGAAGUUCAGGUAACACUGAAUGGAGGACCGAACCGACUUACGUUGAAAAGUGAGCGGAUGAACUGAGGGUAGCGGAGAAAUUCCAAUCGAACCUGGAGAUAGCUGGUUCUCUCCGAAAUAGCUUUAGGGCUAGCCUCAAGUGAUGAUUAUUGGAGGUAGAGCACUGUUUGGACGAGGGGCCCCUCUCGGGUUACCGAAUUCAGACAAACUCCGAAUGCCAAUUAAUUUAACUUGGGAGUCAGAACAUGGGUGAUAAGGUCCGUGUUCGAAAGGGAAACAGCCCAGACCACCAGCUAAGGUCCCAAAAUAUAUGUUAAGUGGAAAAGGAUGUGGCGUUGCCCAGACAACUAGGAUGUUGGCUUAGAAGCAGCCAUCAUUUAAAGAGUGCGUAAUAGCUCACUAGUCGAGUGACACUGCGCCGAAAAUGUACCGGGGCUAAACAUAUUACCGAAGCUGUGGAUUGUCCUUUGGACAAUGGUAGGAGAGCGUUCUAAGGGCGUUGAAGCAUGAUCGUAAGGACAUGUGGAGCGCUUAGAAGUGAGAAUGCCGGUGUGAGUAGCGAAAGACGGGUG
rnacentral:rRNA from 1 species